rnacentral:rRNA from 1 species
UACAGAGGGUGCAAGCGUUAAUCGGAAUUACUGGGCGUAAAGCGCGCGUAGGUGGUUUGUUAAGUUGGAUGUGAAAUCCCCGGGCUCAACCUGGGAACUGCAUUCAAAACUGACAAGCUAGAGUAUGGUAGAGGGUGGUGGAAUUUCCUGUGUAGCGGUGAAAUGCGUAGAUAUAGGAAGGAACACCAGUGGCGAAGGCGACCACCUGGACUGAUACUGACACUGAGGUGCGAAAAGCGUGGGGGAGCAAACAGG